GAUGAACGCUAGCUACAGGCUUAACACAUGCAAGUCGAGGGGAAACGACAUCGAAAGCUUGCUUUUGAUGGGCGUCGACCGGCGCACGGGUGAGUAACGCGUAUCCAACCUGCCCAUCACUUGGGGAUAACCUUGCGAAAGUAAGACUAAUACCCAAUGAUAUCUCUAGAAGACAUCUGAAAGAGAUUAAAGAUUUAUCGGUGAUGGAUGGGGAUGCGUCUGAUUAGCUUGUUGGCGGGGUAACGGCCCACCAAGGCGACGAUCAGUAGGGGUUCUGAGAGGAAGGUCCCCCACAUUGGAACUGAGACACGGUCCAAACUCCUACGGGAGGCAGCAGUGAGGAAUAUUGGUCAAUGGGCGAGAGCCUGAACCAGCCAAGUAGCGUGCAGGAAGACGGCCCUAUGGGUUGUAAACUGCUUUUAUAAGGGAAUAAAGUGAGUCUCGUGAGACUUUUUGCAUGUACCUUAUGAAUAAGGACCGGCUAAUUCCGUGCCAGCCGCCGCGGUAA
rnacentral:rRNA from 1 species